AAAACGACUCUCGGCAACGGAUAUCUCGGCUCUCGCAUCGAUGAAGAACGCAGCNNNNNNCGAUACUUGGUGUGAAUUGCAGAAUCUCGUGAACCAUAGAGUCUUUGAACGCAAGUUGCGCCCAAAGCCUUCGGGCUGAGGGCACGUCUGCCUGGGUGUCACGC
rnacentral:rRNA from 1 species